CGUGCCUGUUCACAUGUUUGAAAUACCCAUCUUGAAAGACUCCAAGAUGAGAAUAAGUGCAGCGCUCUCAGGUUUCAAGAGGACAUCAGAACCUUGGGAUCACACGCACACCAACGACCAGGUUUCUAGUGUCCUAUUGCAAAUCUCCAGAGUAGCACCUCAUAGUCUCUAGCCGUCAUCUCUAAGGCUCUAGGUGAAGGCUCCCUUAGCCUAAUUCCUCCCUGGCCUAGAAUAAACAACUUGGAACUUCCCUGGCAUGAGAUGGUCCUUUCUGUGGGUUGGUUCGCCAUCUUUCUUGUUUUUCUAGUUUGCUGGUCAGUUUUUUGUCAACUUGACACAAGUUAGGGUCAUCUGGGAAGAGAGAACCUCAACUGAGAAAUAACUUCAAUCAAAUUGUCCUGUAGUUUCUUCUAGGUUCUUCCUACCUUGAUUUCUUGAUCUGACUUCAUGAUGAACUAUCAGCUCCAAGCUCACAUAAACCCUUUCCUCCAGUCAUGGUGCUUUAUCAUGAUGGAAAUCGGAUCCCCCUUGGUUUCCAGCUGCCAUGAGGCUGAAGUUUGCCUCACCUCCUCCUGCAACACUGCUGGACUGUCAGGCAGAUAGUGCGCGCGAUGCUGAGUUCAGUAGAUCUGGAAGCUGGCCUAGAAGGAAACAUUUGCUCUUCUCUGAUCCCACGAAGUCAGAAAGAAGGACCUGCCAGAGACAAAGCACAGUAUCCCACGCGCUCACUGUGCACACCCAAAGCUCUCAUUAAA